AAGGAAUAUUGGUCAAUGGACGGAAGUCUGAACCAGCCAUGCCGCGUGGAGGAUGAAGGUCCUCUGGAUUGUAAACUUCUUUUAUCUGGGAAAAAACCACCUUUUUCUAAGGGUGUUGACGGUACCAGAGGAAUAAGCACCGGCUCACUACGUGCCAGCAGCCGCGGUAAGACGUAGGGUGCAAGCGUUGUCGGGAUUUAUUGGGCGUAAAGAGUUCGUAGGCGGUUGCCUAAGUCUGGUGUUAAAGACCGGAGCUCAACUCCGGCAUGGCAUUGGAAACUGGGUGGCUAGAGUGUGGUAGAGGUCACGGGAAUUCCUGGUGUAGCGGUGAAAUGCGUAGAUAUCAGGAGGAACACCGGUGGCGAAAGCGGGUGACUGGGCCAUAACUGACGCUGAGGAACGAAAGCCAGGGGAGCAAA
rnacentral:rRNA from 1 species